UUGACUCUGCAUGACUGGUCUUCUUUGGCAUAGUUAAGAAGCUGCUCAUUUCUAGAAACAUUGAUUUUGAUGUAACAAAGCAAGAAUGGAGGACUACCUUGCUGUUGGUUUCUUUCUGUUUCUACAGAAACAGGAAAAAGCAAGAGCUACUGGGCAAGGUGUAGUACAAAGGUAUACAUGAAAGCUAAGAGUCAACAAGAAACUACGUUUUUCACUAGAAGGCCUUCUAAUGUGAAGUUACACCAACUGCUGACAUGCCUUCUCUUCCAAAUGCGUACCAAUGGGUUUAUUUCCUAUUCAAGUUGCAGCAAGCAUUAAAGAUUACCCGUGGAGCAUCCCAAGCGGGAAGCCAAGAAAAGGAUCUCUGAAGUUUUUGCUUUCAUGGAAGGUGACACAGUGAUCCAUAAAUCUUGAUCUCAUAUUUUUUGGGUCUAUUUUAUAUUUUUUCAUUGAAUUUAAUGAUUUUAACAAAAAUGGCUUCUGAUUGCUCAUUCAUCAGUGAGUCCAAAGGUAUUUUUUAUUCUGCUCCUUUCAUUAUUAGCAAGAAAGAAGACAGAGUUAGAGUCAAUUAUUGGCUAAAAUGUAGGUUGUAGAAAAAAUUACAUUUGUGUCUUUCAUCACAUUGAUUGCAAUGAAAAGUGAUAAUUUAUGAUAAAAUUACCAUACAAAUAAUUCAUGGGAUUUAGAGGAACACUGUAUCCUUAUUCUUGGCAGUUUUGCUGAGACAUUUUUUAAUAUGUUCAGAAAUUUAACAGGGCCAUAUUCUUGUCAACUAAUGUUACUCUUAUAAAACAAGAGAGAUUUCUGUUUCUGUCUAUAACACAGUAGCUGAUAUUGGACUAAGUAUCCCACUGAGAACAAUUAUAAAAGCUGGAUAUUAUACAUAAAACAGCUGCUCAGAAGCACUGGAGAACAACCAAGGCAGUCAGGACUGGGGAAAUUAAGAUUCCGGGGAGAAGGAAAAUGCACUGAAGUGAAACCAAUAUUCUCUGCUGCUUCUCCUCGGGACAUUUGCCCAUUUCCUGCAGGUUAGAGGAUGAACAGAGCAGUUGCACACAAAAAUGAAGUUCAGGGCUACUAAACCUACCAAACUGAAGGGGCCAAGAUGGGGAAAAGAGAGCUGCAGAACCCAACAUCUGUGCAUACUGUUCUCUCAAGGCAUUUGCUGACUCCUAAGCAAAACAUGCAGAAGGAAACACAGUGAAACCAAACAGCAAGCAGCUACUAAGCAACUAAAGACCUAAGUAAAGAAUGCUGGCAUCUCAUGGUUCUAGGAAGAUAUGAAAUGGAUUCAGGUUUUCAUCGAGUAAAAGCAGGUCAGGUAAGGACUUAGACUUUUAAUUGUCAGCCUAGAGUAGCUAAACCCAAGGAACAGGAAAGACUGAAAGUGGAUCACCCUCUUCUUGAUAAAGCACAUACUCUGUCAUUACAGGAUGAUGAAAGAGAGAAAACAGAAAAUGAGCAGGGUCAACAUUUAAAGUGAUAUUGGAUGUACAUUUUCCAAAACUGAGAAAAAAGUUCAGAUCAUAGCGUUGAGAAUUUUAUCAAAUUGCAUGAAGUAUACAAACUCACAACAACAACAAUCACAACCACAAAACCAUACCCCUAGGCAUGUCAGAGAAAAAUCUACUGAACUAAAAACAAAAAAGAAAUCUGGAAAGCUGCCAGAAAAUAGUGCACUACAUUCAAAGCAGAAAUAAGAUAACGAAAGCUGACUUUUCAACACAAAGGGAGUAAGUCAGAAAUAAGGAUGAAAUAUAUAGUGUGGAAACGUAAAAAAAAAAAAAAAGAAUUUUCUAACCUUCUAAUAUUUCACUAAAAUAUAAAAAUAAAAUAAUGACAAUUUUUUCUCUAGGAGAUGAGCACUGAAAUUGCUACUGUAGGAGUGUUAUAGGCAGAUUGAUAAUGAUCAUAAAUGAAGCAUGGUUAUAAGAGUUAAUGAAGAACAGUGAUAUGGUAAAUAUAGGGGAAAGCUUCAAUGAAUAUUUACUGCUUUUAAAAUUGUGUAGGAUUUAAAAUGUAUAUGGAAUCAAAAUAUAUGACAACAGUUUGUAGAAAGAGUAAAUGAAUUUAAAGUGUUGUGGGGUCUUUGUAUUAUUUAUGAAAUGCUUAAGGGCUAACUUAAGGCUCCAAUAAGUUAAAAUGCAUGUUAGGAGCUCUAAAAGAAACUUGAAAUAAUAACCAAAGAUGAAAAUUAAACACCUAUUAAGUUAAAUAAUAUAAUACUAGCCAAAUAAGCUAAAUUUAUACAUAUAAAUGGCCAAACGAAGGUAGGAACAAGAAACAAAGAAACAAAGACUAGAUGGCAUAAUAAAAGGAAAUGAAUAGCAAGAUGUCAGAUUUAAUCCCAGAUAUAACAGCAAUUAAAUUUAGUAUAAAUAAACUAAAUACUCCAAUUAAAGCGGAAAGAUCAGAUUGUAUAAAAAUAAAGAUAUUCAUAAACAGGGAAAAAUAAACAAUCAUUUGACACUUCACGGAAGUAUAAUGACACAAAAGGUUGAAAUUAAAAGGAUCAAAAAGAUACACUAUGCAAACAAGAGAGUUCCAUAUAGCUAGAUUCAUUGACUGAGUAGAAUUUAAAUCAAGAAGUAUUACUGAGUUAAAAAUAAACAUUUCAUAAUAGCAAUUCCAUAAUUGCUACUUUAGUGAAAAAAAACUAUCAUAAAUCUGUAUGUUCCCAAUAGACUCAAAAUAUAAAAUUAUCAGUGAAAAAAAAGAAUAAAAGAAAAGUCUACAUUACAGUGAAAGGCUUAAAAAUAGCUGUCUUACAAACUCACAGACAAGUUGACAAAAAAUUAGUAGAUGUACAGAGAAAUUGAGAAACAUUACAAUCAAAACUGUUCAAUUUGAAAUAUAUAUAUGUGUGUAUAUAUGUAUAUGUGCAUGUGUAUAUAUGUACAUAUAUAUAUAUAUAAAGUACCCACAAAUCAAUAAGAAAAAUACUGUAAAGACAAUUUCUCCAAAAUGGAUGUUCUGAAUAAGUAUUUCCCAAAAAACAACAGUGAAAUAUAAUGAACUUUCAAACAGGUGGUGAACUUCAGUAGUAAUUUUAGAAAUGCAAAUGAAGACCAAAAUGUGAUACAAUACACAAUCAACAGAAUAACAAAAAUUAAAAGACAUCAAUACCCUGGAAACAUUAAGCAUAUAUAUAUAUAUGCUCAUAAACCUUUACUACUAGGUAUAUACCCCCCAAAAUGUGAAUAUGUGCUCAAUAUACAUGUCCAAGAAGAUUGGUAGCAGAAGAAUUCAUAACAGCCUCAAUCUAGGACUAACCCUAAAGUUCAUCAACACAAGAACAGAUAAAUGUAGUAUCUUCAUAGAACUGAAUAUGACAGAGCAAUGAAAAAGGACAAAUGACAGCUAUGUGAAACAGCAUGCACAGAUAUCAAAGACACAAUGUUGAAGAAAGUAGAUACAAAAGAGGUACAUUUCACAAAACCUCAUUUAUAGAAGUUUAAAUGCCAUCAAAACCAAUCUAUGAAGAAUAUAGAUGCAGAAUAUAUGAGGGUGGAGUGACUAGUGGAGGCAAUUCAUUAGAGAGUCUUUCAUUAGGUUUCUGGAAAUGUUCUGAAUCUUUAUGUCAGUGGUGAUUGCACAGGUGGUGCAACUUUUCAAAAAUGUAUUGAACUGUACACUUUGGAUUUGAGUCUUUUACUGUAGAUAUGUUAUACCUCAUUAAAAAUAGUUUGGAGUCAAACACACACACACAAACAACAACAACAAAAGGAAAGGUAAGUACAGAAGCCUUUAGUUUUCAACUUCAGUGCAGGUCGAUUACUGCAUAUCUGGUAUCUUAUUCUGCACAUUGUCUUUUAUUUCUUCUUUCCUGUUUUCUUUGUACCAUUCCUGGCUUCUCCCUCUCUACUUAUACCGCUAUUGAAUUCCUGUUUGUUGCUUUCAUAUUUUUUCCAUUAUCUCAUUUUACUUCUCAAGUUAUUUAUUUUCCUUAUUCUUCAAAAGGAUCUUGUAAUUUGUGACCUGUCUUGCCCAGUUCACAGCAGCCCCAACAAAAGAUUCUUCUCAAUAUAUAUGCUAUAAAAUCUUUAACAUCCCUGUUCACUUAACCCAAGUUUUUAUGGGACUGUUAGCAUAGGAAGUAUAAUAGAAGCCCACAGUAUGAUUAACCUCCAUUUAUUUCUCUGGUUAUGUGGAUUUCACGUUGUAGUCAUUUUAAAAGCUUGGAGGAGCCUCAUUAACUUUACAAGGCAAGACUGGAUUUACAGAUCCAAUAUCUAUGUGGAGAAAGCAACGCUGCAAGUUCUGUUUUUAUUGGAGGUUCUCUGUUGUCUUUUCUCCCUAAUAUAGAUGUCUUUUAUAAGAUUACUUUUUAUAGAACAAAAGCAACAGGCAAUUUCCAAUUAAACGCAGAUGGUAAGGUUUUUCUUUCUACAGGCACUCAGGUGCAAGGAUCUGCCUCAAAGCCUUUGAAUUUUAUGAGGGGUUAAUGCAGUUAAUGUUUUUUACAUUAUUUUGAAUAUUAAUUACAGUAUAAACAUUGCCCCAAGCCCAUGUUUUAGUUAGCAUAUUUUCAAAACAAAUUCACAUCUUAUAUUAAGUAACCUUUCAAAACAAGUAUAGGAAGAUUAUUACCAGCUCUCAUUUAUUUUUCUUUUCUGCUUUAACUAGCUCGCUUUUCUGGGACUAGACAGUGAAAUAAUUAAAUUCAGUGCUUCUUAUUGGUAUUCAGCUUUGACUAGUGCUUAUCUAUAAGGCUUAACUAUUUGCAGCAUAUGAUGAAGAAACAACCUGGAUCUAUGAUGCAGUCAUCCUUCAGUAUUAGCAAGCCUAAUAAAUAUUUGAUUAGUAGAAGGAGCAAAACAUACUUAACGUAGAAUUAAAUGCCAGUUGAUUGAAAAUAUACAAGAUGUUUCAAUACUACCCACUGUAAUGUGCAACAUUUAUAACUGAUAUGGUAAAGAGAUAAUUGGGUUAUGUGGCGAGGUUUCCUUUUUCUCAAGUUGAGGUAGUGUGUGAAACAUAUACCUCUGUUGCAUCCUAUCUGCUCGCUUUACCAAAUAUUUCCAUUUAUCUUUUGGCGUUGAUGGUAGAAUUGCACAACUCUACAAUUUUCUUGUAAGUUUUGACCAUUUGAUUUGUUUUGCCAGUAAAAUGUGAACAGAAGUACUGCAUAUCACUUCCAGGUGGAAUGCAUUAAGAGUCAAUGUGAAACUUGCCAACUUUUCUCUCUGCCAAGAAUGAAGCCCUGUUCCAGACAGCAGCUGCUCUAGAAGCCUGGGUCUGGGAGUGAGCAGUUUACCCAGACACCCUGUGAUAAUCAACUUGCUUCUGUGAGAUAGAAACUUUUGUGGCUUUAAGCUGCUGAGAUUUGCAGGUAUGUGUGACCAAAUUAUAACCCAGUACAUCCUGAUGAUGACACACUUUGAAGCUCUAAUGAUGCCUGCUUUCAGGGAUCAACAAACCUUAACUGAACAGUUACUGAUAAAAUUGGAAAUAUACAAAGAGGUAGCAUGAAUUUGAGAAAAGCCUACAGAAAGUUAAAUGACAAUACAAAAGCACAAGUCAAGAGAUGCUACCGGGGGUGCUUGCAUGGUCACCAAAUAAAUGGCACAUGUAAUAAAUGGCACAUAUAAUAAAAGCUAGAAUCUCAAAGACGUGAGAAAUGACUAGACACAAGCCCCACAAGGCUCACUGGGAACAGAAGGGCUUCAAUUUGGUCCUUAAACGUUGGUAGAUUUUGAAGAAACAAAUAUGCUAUUCUCAGUGAAAGAUGAACUUGAAGAAACAAGAAGGUCAUUAAGUUUAAGUAGAUUCAAAGAGUAAGAAAUAGAUAUAUUUGAAAUAAACCAACAAUACAUAAAUUCAGGAGAUUACAGGGAGGUAGAACUGGAAAAAAAUAUUUUAGGACCAGUGGUGGCAACUCUUUAAUGAGGUUCAAGGAAUUUGAAUUUAAUGCUCUAAGUAGCAGUCACUGAUGUUUACUAUCAUGAGAACAAGAGAUAGAAUUGGUGGCUAGUUUGUCAGACUGAUGAAAGCUUGAAGAGGGGGUAUAUAGGGAAAGUAGAAUAAAAGUAAGGUGUUUGGGAGACAUUUCCCAAAGCACUAUGAAGAUGAUGCUCUUUUGUACAGCGGCCUUUUAGCUAAAGUUUGGUGAUGAGGAAAGGGAAAUACAGAACAGUGAAAAAAAAAAAAAGCAG
rnacentral:lncRNA from 1 species